rnacentral:ribozyme from 1 species
GCUGCUCAAACAUUCACACACCUCUUCGUGGUGAGCAGUAGGCAACGAUCUAUGAUCGGCAGAGAUGUGAAG